rnacentral:rRNA from 1 species
GUGAGAAUGUUGGCAUGAGUAGCGAGAUGUGGGUGAGAAUCCCACAGGCCGUAAACCCAAGGUUUCCAGGGGAAGGUUCGUCCGCCCUGGGUUAGUCGGGACCUAAGCUGAGGCCGAAAGGCGUAGGUGAUGGACAACAGGUUGAUAUUCCUGUACUACCGAUAACCGUUUGAGAGAAGGGAUGACACAGUAGGAUAAGCUAAGCACACUGUUGGUUAUGUGUGCCCAAGCAUUGAGGCAGUCAAAGUAGGCAAAUCCGCUUUGAUAAUGCUGGGAUGUGAUGGGGAGCGAAAUUUAGUAGCGAAGUAGCUGAUUUCACACUGUCAAGAAAAGUCUCUAUCGAGGUUAAAGGUACCCGUACCGCAAACCGACACAGGUGGGUGAGGAGAGUAUCCUAAGGCCAGCGAGAGAACUGUUGUUAAGGAACUCGGCAAAAUGACCCCGUAACUUAGGGAUAAGGGGUGCCACCAUCAGGUGGCCGCAGAGAAUAGGCCCAAGCGACUGUUUACCAAAAACAUAGGUUUCUGCUAAGUCGCAAGACGAUGUAUAGGAGCUGACGCCUGCCCGGUGCUGGAAGGUUAAGGGGAUCUGUUAGAGCAAUCGAAGCAGUGAACUUAAGCCCCAGUAAACGGCGGCCGUAACUAUAACGGUCCUAAGGUAGCGAAAUUCCUUGUCGGGUAAGUUCCGACCCGCACGAAAGGCGUAACGAUUUGGGCACUGUCUCAACAACAGACUCGGUGAAAUUGUAAUUCCGGUGAAGAUGCCGGAUACCUGCGACAGGACGGAAAGACCCCAUGGAGCUUUACUGUAGCUUGACAUUGGGUCUUGGUACUACAUGUACAGGAUAGGUGGGAGGCUUUGAAACCAGGACGCCAGUUUUGGCGGAGCCAUCCUUGGGAUACCACCCUUGUAGUACUGGGACUCUAACCAUAGGCCAUGAAUCUGGUCUUGGGACACUGUCAGGUGGGCAGUUUGACUGGGGCGGUCGCCUCCCAAAAGGUAACGGAGGCGCUCAAAGGUUCUCUCAGUACGGUCGGAAAUCG